UACGUAGGGGGCUAGCGUUGUCCGGAAUCAUUGGGCGUAAAGAGCGCGUAGGCGGCCCGGUAAGUCCGCUGUAAAAGUCAAAGGCUCAACCUUUGAAUGUCAGUGGAUACUGGCGGGCUAGAGUCCGGAAGAGGCGAGUGGAACUCCUGGUGUAGCGGUGGAAUGCGCAGAUAUCAGGAAGAACACCAACGGCGAAGGCAGCUCGCUGGGACGGUACUGACGCUGAGACGCGAAAGCGUGGGGAGCGAACAGG
rnacentral:rRNA from 1 species